UCCCACAUGCCUGCUCUGAAAGUUAUUCUC
rnacentral:piRNA from 1 species